rnacentral:tRNA from 1 species
GGGGAUUUAGCUCAGUGGUAGAGUGCUUGCCUAGCAAGCACAAGGCCCUGGGUUCAAUCCCCAGCUCCG